UGUUUUCCCUCCCUCGUUUCUACACUUACCUAUUUACUAAAAAAAAUAUUUUACUUUUGUUUCGAUUAGUUUUGAUUUUUCUACCUUAAACCCUACAUUAGUUUUGUUCUGUUUGUAUGCUAAAGGACACCCACCCCACCACUUAAGUCGCUGCCCAGCCACCAGCCAUCGACCACCCAGCAGCUGCCAUCCAAACCACCACUCACCAGCUGCCAUCCACAAUCCGAACCACCAUGCGAACAACCACCCACGAUAAUCUGCACGCAAACGAUGCUGCUCACCUACAAUCCGAACGCCGACCAACUCUUCACGCGAAUGAGACCCGAACGCCUGUAAUCCGAACGUUGAUCAUCUCUACACGCGAACCACGUCGUCGGUCACCUGCAAUUCGAACACCAGCCAUCUCUUUCCUCAACCUUCAUUCGACUUCAAGGUGCAACAUUUUCAGCUUCAGUUGAAAGCAGAGAAGGCAAUGGAAAUCUUAGAGUAAACAUUAGAGAUAGAAAUACUAUAUAUGAUGAGAUGCUAGAAAUGUUUCAUGAUUUGGAGCGUCCAAUUUUUGAAGAAAAUAGAAGAGAAUCAAAUGUGGGAGAUGGAACAAGUGGAAUGUUUUGUGAAGUAGAAGAGGAGUUAUAUCCAGAGUGUCGAAAGUUCACUUUGUUCAAUUCCUUAGUGAAACUUAUGCAUAUUGAGGUGCUUAUUUGUUGGAGCUAUAAAUCAUAUGAUAUAUUGCUGGAAUUGUUAAACGAAGCCUUUUUGGAUGGUGUAAAUCUACCUACCUCAUACUAUGAAGCUAAGAAAAUGUUACAUGAUCUAGGUAUGCAAUACAAAUCACUUCUCGUGUAAGUUUGGUUGUGCUUUAUUUUGGAAAGAAUAUACAUCGCUUGAUAAUUGUCUGCAUUGUGGAGAGUCAAGAUACAAAUUGAAUGAUAGAAAAGGUGAAAAGAAUUCUGCAUAAAGUGUAAAAAUCUUUUGCCAAUGAAGACAAGGUUGCAAAGAUUGUUUCUUUCAAAACAUACUGCUAAGGAUAUGAGAUAGCACAAGGAUAGCAAAUGUGAAAUUGAAGGAAUACUUAAGCAUUCGGUUGAUGCUAAGGGUUGGAAAUAUUUUGAUAGUCAGUAUCCUUGUUUUGCUGCAGAUGCUUGCAAUGUUAGAUUAGCUCUUCCUUCUUAUGGUUUUAACCCAUUUGGAAACACGAGCACAUCAUAUAACAUGUGGCCAACCAUGCUCAUUCCAUAAUACUUGCCUCCAUGGAAAUGUAUGGAAGCACCAUUUAAUUUCCUAUCUCUACUCAUCCCUGGUUGGAGAUCUCUUGGUAAGGAGAUUGAUGUUUACCUACAACCACUAGUAGAUGAGUUAAAUGAGUUGUGGGUUGAUGAUAUUUGAACAUAUGAUAGUUUUAAUGCUUCUUUCUUUCAACUUCAUGCUGCACUAUUGUGGAUAAUCAAUGAUUUUUCAGGUUAUGAUGAUUUAUCUGGUUGGAGCACAAAAUGUUAUAAAACUUGUCGAGUUUGCAAUGUUGAUACAAGCUCAAUCAGAUUAUAAAGCAAAAUUUGUUAUAUUGGAUAUCGUAGUUAUCUACCGUCAACACAUGCAUGGUGUAGAAGUAGGCAACAUGAUGAAAAACAAGAAAUGCGAGAAGCUCUGAAUAUAUUAACUGACGAAGACAUUAUAAAUCAAUUGAAUUCAGUAAGUUUUCUUCUUCUUUUUUUGUUUCUGUUAAGCAAAAAUCCUGCAAGAUGUGAUAACAAACGAAAAAGGAUAAGUGUAUUGUAAAGGGACUUUCAUUAUUCAUUACACAAGACUUGCAAACAAUACAACUCGCUAGCUGAAGCACGAAAACAUUGCGACAAAUGAGUGGCACGGGAUUCAGAUUGGAUUCGUUUAUGUGAUCGAUGGGAGAGAGAAGACUUCAAAAAAAUUUAUGGAAGCAAAUACUAAGGCUCGAGCUACUCUUCCAUUCACUCACAGGGGUUACACUACGACAUUUUUAUUCCAUAAGAAGACAAAGGAAUCAGAAGAUGGUAAGAAGUUGAAUGAUAUGGAGUUUUUUCAACUCACUCAUUCUAGUGCUAAGAAAGGAUGGGUGGUCGAGGCAGAAGAGAAAUAUGUAACCAAAAUUUGGUGUUUAUUUGUAAUUUCCUUCCUUUUUUUUUUACAAUAUAUCAAUACAUUAUGUCAUUAUUAUAUGGGAUGAAAUAAUGGCACUAAAAACUGAUUCACAAGAAACGGGAGAAUCUAUUGAAGAUAGAGAGAUUGUGACCGAAUGUUGGGUAAGCGGUCGGGUCAUGCGAAGGGUCUUGGUUGGGGACAAAAACCAAAACAUGCUAGGAAUGGAGCAAGGUACAAUCACACUAAAGAAACAUAGGUUCAAGUUGCACACUUGCAAAGUAUAGUUGAAUCACAACAAAUCAUCAUUGAAGAGAUCCUACGAAGGCUAGCAACUCAAGAAGCUACCUCUAACAUAGAAAGAAGUUCAGAACAAUAGUUAACAGGUAAUGUUUAUUGGAAGUUCUUCUUACAACUCUAGUUUGUUGAAGUUAGUGGACUUGAUUAGUUUGUGUUGAAGUGCUAUGAUUAUCCCACGACUAUGGUAAUCUAUUUUUUAAAUUUUAUUUUAUAUGUGCUUCAAUGAUCAUUUGUUCCUAAGUGUGUUUUGAUUAGGAUGUGGCUAACUUAUUAGCUCUAUCUCUUGUUUAAUGUUUAGUUUUCUUACAUAGCACAUUAAUUGUAGUGUGCAUUGUAACUUAUGUUGUAACUCUUAAACUUAUUAGCUCUUAAAGUGUUAAAGAGUUUUGUUUGUUUAGUUUGCAAUGUCGAACAUGAUUUUGAUAUA